GGGUGGACAAAGUUUUGGCCCUAAUAGUAGGUAUGUCCUGCAGAAAAGCGUGACUAUUCAGCGGCCGGUUUGGGGCUUGAGUUCUCCUGGGUGUGGGGCGUGAUGGGCUGGCAAUAGGUCAAGGGAAAAUAGUUUCCAACAUGCUGAGUUAUGAGCAUAAAAGGGUGGGUAUUUGUGGUUAUCUACUUAUUGCAUUUGAUGGGAGGCUCAGUAUGAACAAUAUUUUCAGUGCCAAAUCUCAUCAUUCUGAGGAAUAAACUAGGGCAGCUAACUGACCUCUUUACAUAGGUUCAAAGCUACCAAGGAUGGUUAGGAGUCUUGGCAUUUUAACAGCCUAAGAAAUGCUCCUAAGAAAAGUGCUUACUUAGUGGUAAUGUGUCCCAUCUUGAGCACUGGCGGGAGAAUCCAUGUUUUGGAAGGGAGGUUUCUAAGAACAGAGCAAGUUUACAGCUGGUCAUGUUAGCAGCUGGGGUAGGCAGCGACAACCUGGGUGUUUCAAUGUGCCCCAGCCUCCCUUUCCCCAAUUAUCCUAAAUCAAGGCAACCAGUUGUCAACUGUAAUCCCAUCUACACUUUUCUCACUGAGGUUUCCAUCAACACCAGUCUCCCCACUUAUCUGUCCCGUUCUAA
rnacentral:lncRNA from 1 species